UGCGAGAGGCGGGGUGGGCAUUAGGGACCGCCUCGGGCUCCCACCAGGGGAACCCCGCCGCGCCCCUGUCCGGUGAACCCGCUAGAGCGAGACUGCACUGCCAUCUCUCACUGCGACCUGCGGGUCCCAUCAGGGCUGCAGCCUCCGGCUCACCAUGACGCCUGGGGCGCAGCUCCUGCCGCUGCUCGUGGCGAUCUCUACAGCAGUGGCGGCGGUGGUCACGUCUGACGCGCCCACGAAGACGCUGUCCCCCGCCACAGGAGACGCCACCCUAGCCUUCGUCUUCGAUGUCACCGGCUCCAUGUGGGAUGACCUGAUGCAGGUGAUCGACGGCGCCUCGCGCAUUCUGGAGCGCAGCCUGAGCAGCCGCAGCCGGGUCAUCGCCAACUAUGCGCUGGUGCCUUUCCACGACCCAGAUAUUGGCCCGGUGACCCUCACGGCAGACCCAGUGGUAUUUCAGAGAGAGCUGAGAGAACUCUAUGUUCAGGGAGGAGGUGAUUGCCCAGAGAUGAGUGUGGGGGCCAUCAAGGCUGCCGUGGAGGUCGCCAACCCAGGCUCCUUCAUCUACGUCUUCUCGGAUGCCCGUGCCAAGGACUACCACAAGAAGAAGGAGCUUCUGCAGCUCCUGCAGCUGAAGCAGUCACAGGUGGUCUUUGUGCUGACUGGAGACUGUGGUGACCGCACCCAUCCUGGCUACCUGGUCUUCGAGGAGAUCGCCUCCACCAGUUCUGGCCAGGUGUUCCAGCUGGACAAACAGCAGGUGUCGGAGGUGUUAAAGUGGGUGGAGUCAGCAAUCCAGGCCUCCAAAGUUCAUCUGCUGUCUGCAGACCAUGAGGAGGAGGGCGAGCACACGUGGAGAAUCCCCUUUGACCCCAGCCUGAAGGAGGUCACCAUUGCACUGAGCGGACCAGGGCCUGAGAUUGAAGUCCGGGACCCACUGGGAAGGGUCCUGCAGACGGAUGAAGGCCUCAAUGUGCUCCUCAACAUUCCAGACUCAGCCAAGGUCGUAGCCUUUAAGCCUGAGCACCCAGGACUGUGGGCCAUCAAGGUAUACAGCAGCGGCCGCCACUCAGUGAGGAUAUCAGGCAUCAGCAACAUCAACUUCCGAGCCGGCUUCUCCAUGCAGCCCUCCCUGGACCUCAACCACACCAUCGAGUGGCCUUUGCAAGGCGUACCCAUCUCCCUGGUGAUCAACUCUACGGGCCUGCAGGCACCUGGCCACCUUGAGUCUGUGGAGCUCUCACACAGCUCGGGGAGGUCCCUUCUCACUCUGCCCACACAACUCCUCUCCAAUGGGUCCACCCAUCAGCUGUGGGCUGGGCCACCCUUCCACGUGCCGAAGGAACGCUUUUAUCUCAAGGUGAAGGGCAAAGACCACGAGGGGAAUCCCCUCCUUCGUGUCUCUGGAGUUUCCUACAGUGCAGUGGCCCCAGGUGUGCCGCUGGUCAGCAUGGCUCCUAAGAUCCAUGGUUACCUACAGCAGCCCCUGCUGGUGUCCUGCUCUGUGUAUAGCACCCUCCCCUUCCAGCUACAGCUGCAGAGAGAUGGAGAGAGGCUGGGCGAGGAGCGGUACUUUCAAGAGUCGGGAAACAGCAGCUGGGAGAUCCCGAGAGCCUCUAAGGCUGAGGAAGGCACGUACCAGUGCAUAGCCGUCAGCAGAGCUGGGUCAGGACGAGCCAGCGCCCAGAUUGUCAUCACAGACCCUCCACCACAGCUGGUCCCUGGCCCCAAUGUGACCGUGUCCCCAGGGGAGACUGCCAUCCUGUCAUGCCAAGUCCUAGGUGAAACUCCUUACAACUUGACCUGGGUCCGGGACUGGCGAGCCUUACCAGCCACAACAGGUCGGAUCUCCCAGCUGAGUGACCUGUCUCUGGAAGUCCGCAGCAUCAUUCCCACUGAUGGUGGGCAGUACCAGUGUGUGGCCAGCAACCCAAAUGGGGUCACGAGGGCAACUACCUGGCUCCUGGUGCGAGAGGCCCCUCAAGUCAGCAUCAAUGCAAGGUCCCAGCGCUUCUCCCAGGGUGUGGAGGUGAGGGUCAGCUGCUCAGCCUCUGGGUACCCCACACCCCAUAUCUCAUGGAGCCGUGAAGGCCUCGCCUUGCCAGAGGACAGCAGAAUCCAUGUGGAUGCCCAAGGCACACUCAUCAUUCAGGGGUUAGCCCCUGAGGAUGCUGGGAACUACAGCUGCCAGGCCACUAAUGAAGUUGGCACAGAUGAGGAGACAGUCACUCUCUACUACACAGAUCCACCAUCCGUGUCUGCUGUCAAUGCUGUGGUUCUCACAGCUGUUGGGGAAGAGGCUGUGCUAUUGUGUGCAGCAUCUGGGGUCCCCCCACCCCGGGUCAUCUGGUAUCGAGGAGGUCUGGAAGUGAUUCUGGCUCCUGGAGACUCUAGGUCGGGGACACUGCGGAUCCCUGAAGCUCAGGAGAGAGACGCUGGCCUCUAUACCUGCAAGGCUGUGAACGAGCUGGGUGAUGCCUCUGCUGAAAUACAGCUGGUGGUGGGAAAUGCACCCAGGCUGACGGAUCCGCCCCAGGACGUCACUGUGGAGCUGGGCAAGAGUGUCUUCCUCACCUGCCGGGCCACAGGCCGCCCACCCCCAAUUGUCACUUGGCGGCGUGGAGAUGGCCAGGCCCUGGAGCCUGGGAGGGGGAGCAGAACUGGACAGCGAGAUUCAGGAGUCUUGGUCUUUGAAAGAGUCUCCCUGGAAGACCAAGCACCGUAUGUGUGUGAAGCUCGCAAUGUGUUCGGGAAGGCCCAGGCUGAGGCCCGGCUGGUAGUCACUGGACAUGCACCUCCACAGAUCGCCAACAGUGCUUCUGUCGUACGUGUCCUGGAGGGACAGCCCGUGUCCCUGACCUGUGUCAUCCUGGCAGGGAGGCCCCUCCCUGAGAGACGCUGGCUCAAGGCUGGCAGCCCUCUCCCCCCAGGCAACCGGCAUGCUGUCCGUGCUGACGGCAGCCUACACCUUGACCGAGCCCUGCAAGAAGAUGCUGGAAGAUACAGCUGUGUGGCCACCAAUGUGGCAGGCUCUCAGCACCGAGAUGUGGAGCUGGUGGUCCAGGUGCCACCUAGAAUCCAUCCGACUUCCACCCACCACGUCACCAACGAAGGAGUGCCAGCCUCCCUCCCCUGCAUAGCUUCAGGAGUCCCCACCCCUAAAAUCACCUGGACCAAGGAAACCAACGCCUUGACUACCAGCGGUCACUACAGUGUGAGCAGAAAUGGUACCCUGGUCAUUGUCCAGCCAUCCCCGCAGGAUGCAGGUGCCUAUGUGUGCACAGCCACCAACAGUGUGGGCUUCUCCAGCCAGGAGAUGUGGCUGUCUGUUAAUACCAAGCCCAUGAUCAAGAUGAAUGGCUCCCAGGCUGUGGAUGUCCCUCUGAGAGUGACAGUCAAGGCUGGUGAAGAGGUGACCCUGGACUGUGAGGCCCAAGGCUCCCCAACUCCACUGCUCACCUGGACCAAGGAUGCCAACCCUCUACUGCCUGUCACCAACAGGUAUGAGCUCCUCCCAUCAGGCUCCCUGCGCCUGGCACAGGCCCAGGUGGGUGACAAUGGCCUUUAUGGGUGUACAGCCAGCAACCCCGCGGGGGCCACAUCUCGCCGCUACGUCCUCAGAGUUCAAGUCCCCCCUCAGGUGCAGCCUGGCCCUCGGGUCCUGAAGGUACUGGCUGGAGAAGCCCUUGACCUGAACUGUGUGGCCGAAGGCAACCCCCAACCUCAGCUGAACUGGUUCAAGGACGGGAUGGCCCUGAUGGGCGAGGGAGCCCAGGGCUCUGUCCACUUUGCUGCUGUCAAGACCUCUGAUGCUGGGCUGUACCGCUGUGAGGCCUCCAAUAGCGCUGGCACAGAUACCUGGAAGCUGGAGCUCCUUGUGCUCGAGCCACCACACUGGGGGACUGACGAGACCAAGAGCCUGCUGGAGCGAGUGGCCGGAGAGAAUGCCAGUCUGCCAUGUCCUGCCCAAGGGACUCCAAAGCCACGAAUCACAUGGCGGAGGGGCCCAUCCUCAGAGCCCCUGAAUGGCCGGCCAGAUGUGGCGGUGCUGGAUGAAGGGUCGCUGUUCCUGUCCUCAGUCUCUCUUGCAGACAGCGGGGAGUACGAGUGCCAGGCCACCAAUGAGGUGGGCUCUGCAUCCAGGAGAGCCAAGCUGGUGGUCUAUGUGCCCCCCAGCAUCCGGGAAGAGGGGCACAUAACCAACGUGUCGGGCCUAGCUGGACAGCCCCUGACGCUGGAGUGUGACAUAAACGGCUUUCCUGCCCCUGAGGUGGCGUGGCUCAAGGAUGGGCAGCUGAUCCCAGAGGCAAGUGGACAUCGCCUCUUGGAUGGCUCCCGGUCCCUCCACUUCCCUAGGAUCCAAGAGAGCCAUUCUGGCCUCUAUUCCUGCCAGGCUGAGAAUCAGGCGGGGAGCGCCCAGAGAGACUUCAAUCUUGCUGUGUUCAUCCCUCCCUCCUUGCUGGGAGCUGGGGCCGCUCAGGAGGUGCUUGGCCUGGCUGGUGCUGAUGUGACAUUGGAGUGUCAGACCUCAGGGGUUCCCACGCCCCAGGUGGAGUGGACCAAGGAUGGGCAGCCUAUCCUUCCAGGGGAUCCUCACAUCCUGCUGCAGGAGGAUGGCCAAGUUCUCAGAAUUAUCAGCAGUCACUUAGGUGACGAAGGGCAGUAUCAGUGUGUGGCCUUCAGCCCAGCCGGCCAGCAGGCCAAGGACUUUCAGCUCAGCAUUCACUAUGGGGACCCCGAGGCCCAGAGAGGGGAAAGGACUUACCCCAGGUCAUACACACCACCCACCAUCUGGGGCUCGAAUGAGACAGGUGAGGUGACUGUCCUGGAGGGCCACACCGCACAGCUCCUAUGUGAGGCCCGAGGAAUGCCAUCCCCUGCCAUCACCUGGUACAAGGAUGGGACCCUGCUGGCCCCCAGCUCAGAAGUGGUUUACAGCAAGGGCGGCCGGCAGCUGCAGCUGGUGAAGGCCCAGCCCUCCGAUGCUGGCCUCUACACCUGCCAGGCCAGCAACCCUGCAGGGAUUACGAAGAAAUCCACCAGUCUGGAGGUUUAUGUUCCACCUACCAUUGAGGGUGCUGACGGAGGGCCAUACCUGGUGCAGGCUGUGGCUGGGAGACCCGUGGCACUGGAGUGUGUGGCCAGAGGCCAUCCACCCCCUACGAUCUCCUGGCAGCAUGAAGGGCUGCCAGUGGUGGACAGUAAUGGGACAUGGCUGGAGGCAGGAGGUGCCCUGCAGCUGGAGAACCCAGGAGAGGCAUCCGGUGGCCUCUACAGCUGUGUGGCCAGCAGCCCCGCUGGAGAGGCUGUACUGCAGUACUCAGUGGAGAUGCAGGUGCCCCCACAGCUGCUGGUGGCUGAAGGCAUGGGCCAGGUCACUGCCACCGUGGGACAGUCUCUGGAUCUUCCCUGCCAGGCAUCAGGCUCCCCAGUGCCCACCAUCCAAUGGUUACAGAAUGGUCGCCCAGCAGAGGAGCUGGCUGGGGUGCAGCUGGCCUCACAGGGGACCAUACUGCACAUCAGCCACGUGGAGCUGAACCACUCAGGCCUCUUUGCCUGCCAGGCCACCAACGAGGCAGGAACAGCUGGGGCUGAGGUGGAGGUCUCUGUGCAUGAGCUUCCUUCAGUGCACAUCAUUGGUGGGGAGAACCUCACAGCCCCUUUCCUGCAACCUGUAACCCUCCAGUGUGUAGGCAUUGGAGUGCCUACCCCAAGCCUUCGCUGGUGGAAAGAUGGCGUGGCCGUGGCAACCUCAGGGGGCAACCUUCAGAUUGAGAAGGCAGACCUGAGAGAUGAAGGUGUCUACACGUGUUCAGCCACCAACCUGGCAGGGGAGAGCAAGAAGGAUGUAACACUAAAGGUUCUGGUUCCUCCCAACAUUGAACCAGGCCCAGUCAACAAGGUGGUUCUGGAGAAUGCCUCUGUGACCUUGGAGUGUCUGGCUUCCGGUGUCCCCCCUCCAGACGUCUCCUGGUUCAAGGGUCGCCAGCCCAUCUCUACCCAGAGACGGGUGAUAGUGUCAGCUGAUGGAAGAGUUCUUCAUAUUGAGCGAGUCCAGCUUUCUGAUGCAGGGAGCUACCGCUGUGUGGCGACCAAUGUGGCGGGCAGUGCAGGGCUGAAGUAUGGCCUACGGGUCAAUGUGCCACCCCGAAUUACCCUGCCACCCAACCUACCAGGCCCAGUACUGCUUGGCACACCCUUCCGCCUGACCUGUAAUGCCACUGGCACCCCCCGCCCCACCCUGAUAUGGCUGAAGGAUGGAAACCCUGUGUCUCCUGAAGGAAUCCCUGGCCUCAAGGUCUUCCCCGGAGGACAGGUCCUCACUGUGGCCAGUGCCCGUGCCUCUGAUUCGGGCAGCUACUCCUGUGUAGCAGUGAGUGCUGUGGGUGAGGAUCGCCGGGAUGUCAUCCUGCAAGUUCACAUGCCCCCCAGCAUCCUCGGAGAAGAGCUAAACAUGUCCGUCGUCGUAAAUGAGUCAGUGACCCUGGAGUGCCAGAGCCAUGCAGUGCCACCACCCGUGCUGAGAUGGCAGAAGGACGGGAGACCCCUGGAGCCUCACCCUGGGAUCCGCCUCUCUGCAGACAAGGCCUUGCUGGAGGUGGACCGAGCGGCGGUGUGGGAUGCAGGCCACUACACCUGUGAAGCUAUUAACCAGGCAGGCCGCUCUGAGAAACACUUCAACUUGCAUGUCUGGGUCCCUCCAGCGUUCCCCUCAAAGGAGCCCUACACUCUCACUGUGACUGAGGGACAGACCGCCAGACUGUCGUGUGACUGCCAGGGCAUUCCUUUCCCCAAGAUCUCAUGGAGGAAAGAUGGUCAGCCUCUGCCUGGGGAGGGGGACAGCCUGGAACAGGUGUUGGCAGUCGGGAGGCUGCUGUACCUGGGACAGGCCCAGUCGGCCCAGGAGGGGACAUAUACCUGUGAAUGCAGCAAUGCAGCCGGGACCAGCAGCCAGGAGCAGUCGCUGGAGGUUCUGGUUCCUCCUCAGGUCACUGGCCUCUGGGAGCCCCUCACAACAGUCUCCGUGAUCCAGGAUGGAAACACCACCCUGGCCUGUAAUGCCACAGGGAAGCCCCUCCCAGUGGUGACAUGGCAGAGGGAUGGUCAGCCUGUCUCGGUGGAACCCGGCUUGCGGCUUCAGAAUCAGAACCACAGCCUACACGUGGAACGGGCUCAGGCCUCCCACGCCGGCGGCUACAGCUGUGUGGCUGAGAAUACAGCUGGGCGUGCCGAGAGGAGGUUUGCACUGUCUGUGCUGGCACCUCCUCAUCUUACUGGAGACUCAGACUCACUGACCAAUGUCACUGCUACCUUACACGGCUCCUUCACACUGCUCUGUGAAGCUGCAGGGGUCCCGGCCCCAACAGUCCAGUGGUUUCAGGAAGGACAGCCAAUCAGCCCCAGAGAGGGCACCUAUCUCUUGGCAGGUGGCUGGAUGCUGAAGAUGACCCAGGCACAGGAGCAGGACAGAGGCCUCUAUUCGUGCCUGGCCAGCAAUGAGGCUGGGGAGGCACGGAGGAACUUCAGUGUAGAGGUCUUGGUUCCUCCCAGCAUUGAAAAUGAAGACUUGGAGGAAGUGAUCAAGGUGCCUGAGGGACAGACUGCCCAGCUGGAGUGCAACGCCACAGGCCACCCACCGCCCAAGGUCACAUGGUUCAAAGAUGGCCAGUCCCUGACUGUUGAAGACCCUUAUGAGAUGUCCCCAGAUGGGGCCUUCCUGUGGAUCCCCCAGGCCAAUCUGUCCAAUGCUGGCCACUAUUCUUGCAUUGCUAGCAAUGCUGUGGGGGAGAAGACCAAACACACACAGCUCAGUGUCCUGGUGGUUCCCACCAUCCUGGGAGUGCCAGAGAAGAAUGCCAACGAGGAAGUGACUGUGACCAUCAACAAUCCUAUUUCCUUGAUCUGUGAGGCUCUGGCCUUUCCAUCCCCCAAUAUCACCUGGAUGAAGGAUGGGUCGCCCUUUGAGGCCUCAAAAAACAUUCAGCUCCUCCCAGGUACCCACGGACUACAGAUCCUGAAUGCCCAGAAGGAAGAUGCCGGCCAGUACACCUGUGUAGUCACCAAUGAGCUGGGGGAGGCGACAAAGAACUACCAUGUGGAAGUGCUCAUUCCCCCUUCCAUCUCCAAAGAUGACCCCUUGGGGGAGGUCAGCGUGAAGGAAGUGAAGACCAAGGUCAACAGCUCUCUGACCCUGGAGUGUGAAUGCUGGGCCACACCCCCGCCCUCCAUCAGCUGGUACAAAGACGGAAGGCCUGUGACCCCCAGCCACCGGCUCAGUGUCCUGGGGGAGGGGCGGCUGCUCCAGAUCCAACCCACACAGGUCUCUGACUCUGGCCGAUACCUGUGUGUGGCCACCAAUGUGGCUGGCGAGGACGACCAGGACUUCAAUGUUCUCAUCCAAGUGCCCCCUAUGUUCCAGAAGAUGGGCGAUGUUGAUGCAGGCUUUGAGCCCCUGCCCCAUGAGGAGGAGGCCCAGGGCAGGGUGACAGAGUACAGAGAGAUUGUGGAGAACAACCCAGCUUACCUGUACUGCGAUACCAAUGCCAUUCCACCACCAGAGCUCACGUGGUACAGGGAGGGUCAGCCCCUGUCAGCUGCUGAUGGGGUCUCGGUACUGCAAGGAGGCCGAAUCCUGCAGCUGCCUCUUGUGCAGGCAGAGGAUGCGGGCAGGUACUCCUGCAAGGCUGCCAAUGAGGUGGGCGAGGACUGGCUACAUUACGAACUACUGGUGUUGACACCACCAGUGAUCCCGGGAGACACACAGGAGCUGGUAGAGGAGGUGACAGUGAACGCUAGCAGUGCUGUCAGCCUAGAGUGCCCAGCCCUGGGGAACCCAGCACCUGCUGUGUCAUGGUUCCAGAAUGGGCUGCCUGUGUCCCCCAGCCCACGGCUGCAGGUCCUAGAGGAGGGACAGGUCUUGAAGGUUGCCACUGCAGAGGUAGCCGAUGCCGCCAGCUACAUGUGUGUUGCAGAGAACCAGGCAGGCUCUGCAGAGAAACUCUUUACCCUCAAGGUCCAAGUACCGCCACAAAUCUCAGACUGGACCACCAGCCAGCUCACCGCCACCCUCAACAGCAGUGUCUCCCUCCCCUGUGAAGUUUAUGCUCACCCAAACCCUGAGGUCACAUGGUACAAGGAUGGCCAGCCUCUCUCCCUGGGACAAGAGGCUUUCCUCCUCCCCGGUACCCACACUCUGCGGCUGGCACGAGCACAGCCAGCUGACUCCGGGACCUACUUGUGUGAAGCCCUCAACGCCGCAGGCCGAGACCAAAAGAUGGUACAGCUCAACGUUCUCGUUCCCCCCAGCUUUAAACAGGCUCCUGGAGGCCCCCAGGAGGCUAUCCAGGUUAGAGCAGGGGACAAAGCCAUCCUAAGCUGCGAGACAGACUCACUCCCAGAGCCAGCUGUGACCUGGUUCAAGGACCAGCAGCCCCUAGCCCUGGGGCAGCGGAUUCAGGGUCUACAAGGUGGACAAACACUGGAGAUCCUGGACUCACAGGCAUCAGAUAAGGGUGUGUACAGCUGCAAAGUUAGCAAUACAGCUGGAGAGGCCAUCCGGACCUUUGUCCUUGCCAUCCAAGUGCCUCCAACAUUUGAGAAGCCCGAGAGGGAGACAGUGAACCAGGUAGCUGGGCGGACCCUAGUCCUGGCUUGUGAUGUGUCCGGAAUCCCUGCUCCCACUGUGACUUGGCUGAAGGACAGAUUACCCGUGGAGAGCAGCGUGGUACACGGAGUGGUCUCCCGAGGUGGCCGCCUCCAGCUGAGUCACCUGCAGCCAGCCCAGGCCGGUACCUACACUUGUGUGGCUGAGAACGCCCAGGCAGAGGCCCGCAAAGACUUUGUAGUGUCUGUCCUAGUGCCUCCCCAGAUCCAGGACUCAGGCAUGGCACAAGAACACAAUGUGUUGGAGAAACAGGAGAUUCGGCUGCACUGUGAGGCUGAAGGCCAGCCACCACCAGAUAUAACCUGGCUGAAGGACGGUGGCCUGUUGGACCAGCACGUGGGACCUCACCUCCGGUUCUAUCUGGACGGCAGUACCCUGGUGCUGAAGGGCCUAAGAACAGCGGACUCGGGUGCCUACACCUGUGUGGCCCACAACCCAGCUGGGGAGGAUGCCAGGCUACACACGGUGAAUGUACUGGUUCCUCCCACCAUCAAGCAACAAGCUGGUGACACCGGGACCCUGGUGAGCAGGACUGGAGAGCUGGUGACCAUGGUGUGCCCUGUCCAAGGAUCCCCACCCAUUCACGUGAGCUGGCUCAAGGACGGCCUGCCCCUUCCACUCUCCCAGCGCACCCUCCUCCACAGCUCCGGCCGCACCCUCAGGAUCUCUCAGGUGCAGCUGGCAGAUUCAGGCGUCUUCACCUGUGUGGCUGCAAGCCCAGCUGGUGUGGCUGACAGGAACUUCACCUUGCUAGUACUCGUGCCCCCCAUCCUGGAACCAGUGGAGUUUCAGAACAACGUGAUGGCUGCCCAAGGCUCUGAAGUAGUCCUUCCGUGUGAGGCCCGGGGAAGCCCCCUGCCUCUCGUGUCAUGGAUGAAAGAUGGGGAGCCUUUGUUGCCCCAGAGCCUUGAGCAGGGGCCUGGCCUGAAGCUGGAAUCAGUGAGUGUUGGUGACGCAGGGACCUACUCCUGCACGGCAGCAAGCGAGGCAGGGGAGGCCAGGAGGCACUUCCAGCUGACAGUGAUGGAUCCCCCUCACAUUGAGGAAUCUGGUGAGACUUCAGAGCUGUCACUGACACCCGGUGCCCACCUGGAACUCCUGUGUGAGGCCCGAGGCAUCCCUCCACCCAACAUCACUUGGCAUAAAGACGGGCAGGCCCUGCGCAGGACGGAAAAUGACAGCCAAGCUGGCCGGGUGCUCCGGGUGCGGGAUGUACAGGUGGACAAUGCUGGGCUGUAUACCUGCCUGGCUGAGAGCCCUGCAGGUGAAGUUGAGAAGAGCUUCCGGGUCAGGGUUCAAGCCCCUCCAAAUGUUGUUGGGCCCCGGGGUCCCCGCUCUGUGGUUGGCUUGGCUCCAGGGCAGCUGAUCCUGGAGUGCUCCGUGGAGGCAGAGCCAGCACCAGAGAUUGAGUGGCAUCGAGGUGGUGUCCUGCUUCAGGCAGAUGCCCACACUCACUUUCCAGAGCAGGGCAGAUUCCUCAAGCUGCAGGCGCUGAGCACCGCGGAUGGUGGGGACUACAGCUGCACAGCCCGCAACAGGGCAGGCAGCACCAGCGUGGCUUUCCGUGUGGAGAUCCACACGGCACCCACCAUCCAAUCAGGACCGAACACUGUGAACGUCUCAGUGAACCGCACAACCCUGCUGCCCUGCCAGACCCACGGUGUGCCCACGCCCCUCGUGAGCUGGAGGAAGGAUGGGAUCCCUCUGCACCCUGGGAGCCCCAGGCUAGAGUUUCUGCCCGAGGGAUCACUGCGGAUUCAUCCAGUCCUGGCACAGGAUGCCGGACACUACCUCUGCCUAGCAUCCAACUCUGCUGGCUCCGACCGGAAAGGCCUAGACCUCAGAGUCUUCGAGCCCCCGGCCAUUGCUCCUGGCCCCUCCAACCUGACCCUGACGGCCUACAGCCCAGCCUCGCUGCCCUGUGAAGCCAGAGGCUCUCCCAAGCCCUUGGUGACCUGGUGGAAGGAUGGGCAGAAGCUGGACCUCCGCCUACAGCAAGGCGCCUACCGGCUUCUGCCUUCCAAUGCCCUGUUCCUCACCGCUCCCAGCCCUCAGGACUCAGCCCAGUUUGAGUGUGUCGUGAGCAAUGAGGUGGGAGAGUCCCGCAGGCGCUACCAGGUGACCGUCCAUGUGCCUCCCACCAUUGCGGACGACCAGACACAUUUCACGGUGACCAGGAUGGCACCUGUGAUCCUCACGUGCCACAGCACAGGGUCACCAACCCCAGCCGUGUCCUGGAGCAAGGCAGGCACCCAGCUGGGAGCAAGGGGCAGCGGCUACCGCAUCUUGCCCUCUGGAGCCCUGGAGAUUGAGCGGGCCCUCCCUCUCCAUGCUGGCCGGUACACCUGCACAGCUCGAAACUCUGCAGGGGUGGCCCGCAAGCACAUGGUCCUCACAGUGCAAGCCUCCCCUGUGGUAAAGCCACUCCCCAGCGUGGUUCAGGUUGUGGCAUCGGAGGAGGUGCUGCUGCCCUGUGAGGCCUCUGGCAUCCCCCAGCCAAUGGUCAUCUGGCAGAAGGAGGGUCUCAGCAUCCCUGAAGGAGCUCAUAUGCAGGUCCUCCCCAGCGGCCAGCUGCGGAUCAUGCACGCCAGCCCAGAGGAUGCUGGGAACUACUUCUGCAUUGCCCAGAACAGCGUGGGCAGUGCCAUGGCGAAGACCAGGCUGGUGGUGCAAGUCCCGCCUGUGAUUGAGAAUGGCCUCCCAGAUUUGUCCACCAUUGAGGGCUCCCACGCCCUCCUGCCCUGCACAGCCAAGGGCAGCCCUGAACCAGCCAUUACCUGGGAAAAGGAUGGCCACCUGGUAUCUGGAGCUGAGGGGAAGUUUACCCUGCAGCCUUCCGGGGAGCUCCUGGUGAAGAACUCUGAGGGCCAGGAUGCAGGCACUUACAUCUGCACUGCAGAAAAUGCCGUGGGCCGUGCCCGACGCCGCGUGCAUCUCACCAUCCUGACGCUGCCUGUCCUCACCACCUUGCCUGGGGACCGAAGCCUGCGUCUUGGGGACAGGCUAUGGCUUCGCUGUGUGGCCAGGGGCAGCCCAACACCCCGCAUUGGCUGGACCAUCAAUGACCAGCCUGUCACAGAGGGGGUGUCUGAGCAGGACGGGGGCAGCACACUGCAGCGGGCAGCCGUCACCAGAGAGGACAGCGGCACAUACACGUGCUGGGCCGAGAACAGAGUUGGUCGUGUGCAGGCUGUCAGCUUCGUCCACGUGAAGGAGGCUCCAGUCCUACAAGGGGAGGCCUUCUCUUACCUGGUAGAACCUGUAGGGGGCAGCAUCCAGCUACACUGUGUGGUUCGUGGAGACCCAGCUCCAGACAUCCACUGGACCAAAGAUGGCCUUCCACUGCCCAUCAGCCGCCUCCACUUCCAGCUACAGAACGGCUCCCUGACCAUCCUCAGGACCAAGAUGGACGACGCGGGACGGUACCAAUGCCUGGCCGUGAACGAGAUGGGCACCGUGAAGAAAGUGGUGACAGUUGUGCUUCAGAGUGCCCCAGUGUUCCAGGUGGAGCCUCAGGACGUGACAGUGAGGUCCGGAGUGGAUGUGGAACUGCGAUGCCGGGCCACUGGAGAGCCUGUGCCCACAAUCGAGUGGCUACGGGCAGGCAGGCCGCUACAGGCUGGCCGGAAGCUCCGGGCCCUGCCAGAUGGAAGCCUGUGGCUGGAGCAUGUGGAAGCUGGAGAUGCUGGAGUGUAUGAGUGUGUUGCUCACAAUCAUCUGGGCUCUGUCACAGCCAAGGCGUUGCUGGCCGUAAGAGGGGAGCCCCGGGGCAGCCGGGGCAGCAUGACUGGAGUCAUCAAUGGUCAGGAAUUUGGAAUGGCUACUCUCAACAUCAGUGUGCUACAGCAGGGCAGCUCUGAGGCUCCAACCAUCUGGAGCAGCAUCAGUCAAGUCCCAGCAAGUGUGGGGCCUCUAAUGCGGGUGCUGGUGGUCACGAUUGCCCCCAUCUACUGGGCCCUGGCUAGAGAGAGCGGAGAGGCCUUAAAUGGCUACUCUCUGACGGGUGGCAGCUUCCAGCAGGAGUCACAGAUGGAAUUUUCUACAGGGGAGCUACUCACAAUGACCCAGGUGGCUCGGGGCCUGGAUCCUGAUGGACUCCUGCUCGUGGACAUGAAAAUCAAUGGCAUGAUCCCAGAGAGCCUGGCUGACGGAGAUCUGCGAGUACAGGACUUCCAGGAGCACUACGUGCAGACAGGGCCUGGCCAGCUAUUUGCGGGCUCCACACAGCGUUUCCUCCACGACAGCCUCCCAGCCUCCCUGCGCUGCAAUCACAGCAUCCAGUAUGAUGAGACCCGGGGCCUCCAGCCCCAGCUGGUGCAGCAUCUUCGGGCCUCUUCUAUCAGCUCGGCCUUUGACCCUGAGGCAGAGGCCCUGAACUUCCAGCUUACCACAGCCCUGCAAACAGAGGAAAAUGAAGUUGGCUGUCCCGAGGGCUUUGAGCCGGAUGUGCAGGGAGCAUUUUGUGUGGACAAGGACGAAUGCUCAGGAGGUCCCAGCCCCUGCUCUCAUACCUGCCGCAAUGCUCCUGGUCAUUUCUCCUGCUCCUGCCCCACUGGCUUCUCCCUGGCUUGGGACCACAGGAAUUGUAGAGAUGUGGAUGAGUGUGCGGGCAACACCCACCUCUGCCAGGAGGAACAGCGCUGUGUGAACCUGCUUGGAUCCUAUAACUGCCUCGCUUCCUGUAGACCUGGCUUCCGGGUAACUGCUGACGGAAGCAACUGUGAAGAUGUGGAUGAAUGUCUAGAACAGCUGGAUGAGUGUCACUACAAUCAACUCUGUGAGAACACUCCAGGUGGCCACCACUGUGGUUGUCCCAGAGGGUACCGCCAACAGGGUCACAGCCUGCCUUGCCUAGACAUCAACGAGUGCCUACAGCUGCCCACACCCUGUGUCUACCAGUGUCAGAACCUCCAGGGCAGCUACCGAUGCCUGUGCCCACCAGGCCAGACUCUCCUACGGGAUGGCAGGACCUGUAUCCCCCUGGAACGGAACCGUCAAAACAUUACCAUUGUCAGCCACCGGAGCCCAUUUGGGCCCUGGCUGCGGUCUCGGGUACCCAGGCCCAGUAGUUCCUACCACACCUGGGUCUCCCUCCGGCCUGGUUCUGGGGCCCUGAAUAGUGUGGGCCGGGCCUGGUGCCCACCUGGCUUCAUAAGGCAGGAUGGCGUGUGUGCAGCCAGAGACUCCUCCUGCAGCAGGCCUGGGUGAAGCAGGCAGGGGAGGGGUUGCCUGGAGCAGAGAGCUUCCCUGACCGGUCUCAGAGCACAUGGCCAUCCGGCAAUCUGACUCAGCAUCUCUCUGCCCUCUGUCCCCACCUGGACCAGACCUUGAUGAGUGCCGUGUUAGGAGCCUGUGUCAGCAUGCCUGCCAAAACACAGAGGGUAGCUACUAUUGCCUGUGCCCCUCUGGCUACCGCCUCCUUCCCAGCGGGAAGAACUGCCAGGACAUCAACGAGUGUGAGGAAGAUGGCAUCGAGUGUGGGCCUGGCCAGAUGUGCUUCAACACCCGAGGCAGCUUCCAGUGUGUAGACACGCCCUGUCCUACCACCUACCGGCAGGGCUCCAGCCCCGGGACCUGCUUCCGCCGCUGCUCUCAGGACUGCAGCGCCAGCGGCCCGUCUACACUGCAGUACCGCCUGCUGCCGCUGCCCCUCGGCGUGCGCGCCCACCACGACGUGGCCCGCCUGGCCGCCUUCUCCGAGGCUGGCAUCCCUGCCAACCGCACGGAGCUCACCGUGCUGGAGCCCGACCCACGCAGCCCCUUCGCUCUCCGCCAGCUACGCGCUGGACAAGGCGCGGUCUACACCCGCAGAGCGCUCACCCGCGCCGGGCUCUACCGCUUGACUGUGCGCGCAGCGGCACCCCGCCACCAGAGCGUCUACAUCCUGCUAAUCGCAGUGUCGCCUUACCCGUACUGAGGCCAGAGCUGCAGAUCCACCCUGACCUCGCAGAGAGGAACAGAGUGGCCCUUGCCCAUGACACCUACAGUGACAGAGAACAUCCUCUUCUCCCGCCCCCGUGCGUCAGUGAGAUCUUUGGUAAACACUGCUGUGCGCAGAGCCUUGACCCCAGGGCAGAGACCGCUGCCCCUUUGAUGGCAAAGCCAAUGGGUCAGGCCUGAGUCCCGUCUUUCCUCAGAUCUCAGCGGGGAGCUGGGCAAGAUCUCAGUGGUCCAGGACAGACCCAGUAGGGGUGGAAGCGACUGGCACUGUCCUGACCACAUGGAAUGUGUAUAGUAUAAAAAAAAUUUUUUUUUACUGAC